AUAUAUAUAUUCAUCUCUAUGUGUUUUUCGUCUUUUUCUGCCCGAGCUUCUCUUCUCUUCUGCGCAGCAGUUCUCUUCUUGACAAAAGAUAAGAGAUUGAAGGCAUCUGGGCAAUCGUUGUUUCCAAAGUAAGAGGAGUUGGAGGUAACUCCAGCAGAAAAGCAAAAGGGAAAGUGAUCCAGCCCAGUAGAGGGCAAGUUUUUCUUUAGAAAACGACAUAGCAAACUUGAAUGUUCGUGAGCUUGAUCCCGCACUGCACCUGGAGUAAAGAUUGAUUUUGCAUAUCAUUAAUGAGCUAAACUAGAUUGCCAAGUUGCUUCCCCCUAUCUAGUCAAAUUAUAGGCCUCCUAUUCCUCGGCAAGUAACGUUAAUUUAAGGUCAAAUUGUGUCCUGUAACAGGUGGGUCUUGCUUUAGCUCCAAGAUGUGCAUCGGCGCUGUGUCUGUACAUGUGAAAUGACAGCGAUCCAAUUCUGUUCAAUUAUUAAGUUCCAUAAAUAAUAUAUUAUAUGCCAUGCAAGUAUUUGAUA